rnacentral:ncRNA from 1 species
UUGUAAGUAGUUUAGAGCGUACGGUGGAUGCCUUGGCACCAGGAGCCGAUGAAGGACGUAGGAGGCUGCGAUAAGCCUCGGGGAGCUGUCAACCGAGCUGUGAUCCGAGGGUGUCCGAAUGGGGAAACCCAGCACGAGUGAUGUCGUGUUACCUGCACCUGAAUAUAUAGGGUGUGUGGAGGGAACGUGGGGAAGUGAAACAUCUCAGUACCCACAGGAAGAGAAAACAAUUGUGAUUCCGUGAGUAGUGGCGAGCGAAAGCGGAGGAGGCCAAACUUUGUGCGUGUGAUACCCGGCAGGGGUUGCGUAUGGAGGGUUGUGGGGUUUGCUUUGUCGAUUCUGCCGGAUCGGCCGACAGUAAGAAAUCAUGGUGUUAGUCGAAGUGGUCUGGAACGGCCUGUCGUAGAGGGUGAGAGUCCCGUAGACGAAAGUACUGUGACUGUUGUAGUGGAUACCCAAGUAGCAGCGGGCCCGUGAAAUCUGCUGUGAAUCUGUCGGGACCACCCGAUAAGCCU